rnacentral:misc_RNA from 1 species
GAACGCACAUUGCGCCCGCCGGCAUUCCGGCGGGCAUGCCUGUUCGAGCGUCAUUUCGACCCUCAAGCCUUAAUGGCUUGGUGUUGGGGCGCCCGCGCCAGCGCGCGCGGGGCCCUCAAGUCUAUCGGCGGGCUCGUCGGACACUGAGCGCAGUAAUUAUUCUUCGUUCGGCCUGUCCCGGCGGGUUUCCUGGCCGUUAAACACCUCAAAUUACCAAAGGUUGACCUCGGAUCAGGUAGGAAUACCCGCUGAACUUAAG